rnacentral:tRNA from 50 species
GCGAGCGUAGUUCAAUGGUAAAACAUCUCCUUGCCAAGGAGAAGGCACGGGUUCGAUUCCCGUCGCUCGCC